rnacentral:rRNA from 1 species
ACUUCGGUGGGAGCGGCGAACGGGUGAGUAACACGUUGGGAUCUGCCCCGAACUCAGGGAUAACCUGCCGAAAGGCAUGGUUAAUACCGGAUAGUCCCGCAAGGGUAAAGCUUUUGCGGUUCGGGAGGAACCUGCGGCCUAUCAGCUAGUUGGUGAGGUAACGGCCCACCAAGGCGAUGACAGGUAGCUGGUCUGAGAGGACGACCAGUCACAAUGGAACUGAGACACGGUCCAUACUCCUACGGGAGGCAGCAGUAAAGAAUCUUUCACAAUGGGGGAAACCCUGAUGGAGCAAUACCGCGUGGUCGAUGAAGGUCGAAAGAUCGUAAAGGCCUUUUCUGGGAGAAGAAUUCUGACGGUAUCCCAGGAAUAAGCACCGGCUAACUCCGUGCCAGCAGCCGCGGUAAUACGGAGGGUGCAAGCGUUAUCCGGAAUUACUGGGCGUAAAGCGUCCGCAGGCUGUUUGUUAAGUCAGAUGUUAAAUCUUGGAGCCCAACUUCAAGCCCACAUUUGAAACUAUCAAACUAGAGUACUUCAGAGGUGUGUAGAAUUCUGUGUGUAGGGGUUAAAUCCGUAGAUAUACAGAGGAAUACCAAAAGCGAAAGCAGCACACUGGGAAGUAACUGACGCUCAGGGACGAAAGCGUAGGUAGCGAACGGGAUUAGAUACCCCGGUAGUCUACGCCGUAAACGAUGGAUACUAGGUGUUGGAGGUCUCGACCCCUUCAGUGCCGAAGCUAACGCAUUAAGUAUCCCGCCUGGGAAGUACGAACGCAAGUUUAAAACUCAAAGGAAUAGACGGGGACCCACACAAGCGGUGGAGCACCUGGUUUAAUUCGACAAUAAGCGAGGAACCUUACCUGGACUUGACAUCCCGAGAAUUUCCUAGAAAUAGGAAAGUGCCUUCUGGAACUCGGUGACAGGUGCUGCAUGGUUGUCGUCAGCUCGUGCCUUGAGGUGUACGGUUAAGUCCGCUAACGAGCGCAACCCAUGUCUUAUGUUGUUUUUUCAUAAGAGACUGCCGAUUCAAAGUCGGAGGAAGGUAUGGACGACGUCAAAUCUGCAUGGCCCUUAUGUCCAGGGCUACACAGGUGCUACAAUGGCUAGUACAGAGGGUAGCAAUACUGCAAAGUGGAGCUAAUCCUUAAAGCUAGUCUAAGUUCGAAUUGGAGGCUGCAACUCGCCUCCAUGAAGUUGGAAUCGCUAGUAAUCGCAGAUCAGCAAUGCUGCAGUGAAUCCGUUCCUGGGUCUUGUACUCACCGCCCGUCACACUAUGAAAGGUAGAGGCGCCCGAAGU